UUUGUUAUUGCUUAUUGAGGGCGAUAUGCAAAGGUUACAACUAAAGGAACAGAAGAAAAGAUGGAAAAAUUUGGUAUAAUUUUUGUGUCAAAGAGUCUUGUUAGCCCUACGGAUUAAUCUCAGAAUCAUCGAUUUUUGUUUGUAAAUUUGGCGUCUUUUACUUUCUUUCUUUCUGAUCUAAUAUACUUUGAUUAAAUUCAGUCUUCACACUUGAGUCUUCGCAAAAGAAAAGUGUUCAAGGGUAGUAGUAAAUUAGGUGUUGGUAUCGAGAUCAUUAGAAGGAAAGUUGACUUUUUUUUACUAAAGACCAUCAUCAUUAUCAUCAAUUGCAAUUACAACAACAUCGAGUAUCAUCAUCAUUAUCGUUGUACAAAGGGAAAAAGAAUAAAAACAGGUCAUGGGAAACCAGGUUUAAAGGGUGUGACCUUUCAAGCCAGUUUAAUAAUCAAACAAUGACGUUCCUAAAAUAAUAAUGGCUACCAAGCUGAAAUGAUGACCUUACACAAUUAUUUUUAAUACCUGUUAUAUUAGCUAAAAAGUUAUUUAACCAGUCCACCAAUGUGAUCACCAUGUUUUUUUUAUCUGAUGUCUGUUGACCCUUCUUUUAAAGGCCAAAAAUCCAAUGUAAAAGGAGAGUUUUAAAAGAACGAAGCUAAAUAAAGAAAGAGUGACUCCUCUUUACCCUAAGGCCUUUUCCAUCCAUCUACCCUGAGUUUUCCCAGCACAUUAAGGAACAUCGCAUGGCUACUCACUUUGAAAAUUUCAAUUUUUUCCACCUUCUUUCUAAAUCUUUCCAUAGAGAUUUGACUCCUCUUCAGACCUCUCCUCUCACUCUUACCUGAAUAUGAAUUUCCUUGCAAUUUCAUAACUUCCAAUGGUUCCCUUUUCAACUGUCCAUAAUAAUUGUGUAAUAAUUUCAGAAGAAAAAAAAGGUUCACAUUAAACAAGGAGAAGAAGCAAAAAAGCCUAAACCAAAGGGAAAACAAAAGGAAGAAGAAAAGAGAACGAAAAAAAAGAGAAAUCGAAAGUAAAGCAAAUAAAAAAAUAAAGAGUCAAGAUUACCAGGAAAAAGUAAUCAUCAUUCUACAAUCAUGACUUUGGGUGUAAAACAUGUUCACAAUAUUCAUCAGCUGGUGAGGUUUAGUGAAUCUAAAAUCUAACCCUAAAAUCAUCAAAAUAGAUUGGGUUUUAAUUUAUUGGCUAUCAAUAGUUUGUAAAUGCUUCAAGUUGCUUGGAUUGCUCUUCAGAGAAAAUUAUUGCACUGGUUUUGUAUAAAAACGCACGCGUCGAGGUUAAGCCAAGACAUGAUUCUCAAGUGAGUGACUUGAGGACACCCUUUAAUUCAUCAUACAAGCUUGUUUAGUGUUAGGUGCAUCAUGCAGAAAUCUAGAAAUAAACAAAACUUGAAAUUAUUAUGAGCCUAAUAUACAAAAAUUUAUAAUAAUCGUUAUCUUUUUCAUCUCCUUUAUCGUCCUCUUGAAGUGGUUCCAAGCAACUGUCCAUGGCAUGUUAUAAUCAUUAAACAAUGUAUCAACAGAUUCCAUGUUUUAAUGAUGUUCUUAAUAAGCGAUCAGCUUAGAUUUGACCAGAGACAAAACAAACAUCCUGAAGCUAACCGCCCUCAUCUCCCGACAUAACAUUAACAUAUCCGCUCUCUCAAUAUCGCUUUAUAUAAUAUAAUUCAUGCGGUUCAUUGUUUUGAUCAGACAGAAUAAUUUUAUUGUUAUUUAGUCCAUUCUUUCAAAUAAUUUUCAUCAGUCUUCCCAUUUACACUAUGAGUUUAGUUUUUAGUUUGAUGCCAUCAAAUUCAGGUAGAGUUGGAAUGUCCCUUUCCGUUAUUAAUUUUAGGUUUGCAUUUAAAUUUUCAUUUUCAAUUUUCUCAUUAUUUAUCAGAAAGGUCCAUUGAGUUAAUCUUCUUUCAGGAAAUUUCAUCAGCACUAAGUCCAUAUCGUAAAACAAUUUCUUAAACCAACAAUAAGGAAUGAAACUAAUUGAUGACAAAUUGGUUAACAGAACAAUUAGAUAAUCUUAAAAACGUGAAUAAUAUUAAAAACAAAAAUUUUAAUCGAUUUCAAUUAAAAUUGAAUUUCCAUUUCUGACAUAAACAAUUGUUUUGAGUUUUGACAAGAAAGCAAAUCUCUUUCUUCCUUUCUUCUCUUUCCUUACAACAUUAAGCCGGCUUUCACCGGCUUCGGUAUUUUGCCGGUUUCACAUUGUUACGCCAUCUAUCGAGUAAUCUGGUUCCUUCAAAUGUAAACAAAGAGGCUCAAUAUAUUCAAUCUUUAGAGCAAUUGAAAUAUUAUUGUUUCAUGGAUUGAAUUAUGUCCAUAGUAAUUAAGGCAUCAAUUUUUACGUUCAUUAGUACCUUUUUUUGCCUGUUUCAUCCAUUAGUUCCAAUUUAUUUAUUAAUCUAAUUCUGUAACUGAAUUAUUAACUAACUUGUUCACAUUUCUUUUUAAUUUAAUUUAACCAAUUUGUCCUUUUCCUCUAAUUUGAUGAAAUCUUGCUUCUUUAUACGGCCUUUUGUGAUGAUUCCUUUUUUUGUUAAAUAAUCUCUUUUCUGUUUCUAUUUUUCCCUUUAUUGAUGGUGAUUAACUCUGUUUCGCUUUUGAAUUUUACUUCACAAUUUAGGAUUGCAAAUUAUGGUUAUGCAUUCUCUUGGUGAACAGAUUUAUGAUUAACUCAUUGUUGUAAUUGUUGACCAUUAGUGAAAUAUAUUAGUUAAUAAUCUGGGUUCAUUUUGUUUCAACUUUCAGUUAUCAAAUGAAGCUUUAUUUUUUGAUGAGUCUCUUUUUAUUAAAUUGAAAUUGAGUUGAAACCGUCCUUACAUUGUUAUAUGAAAAUAAAGCAAAAAAAACAGUAGAGAGAAGAUUGAUUUGCUCAAUCGCGUUAGCUUUCCCAUUCCUUUGUUUCAUUGUACUAAUGCUUUCCCGUUAAUGUGUUAUGGUUCAAUUUAAUUGCUAUUAUAUUAUUAUCUUGAGCCAUAUUAAAGUUAUAAUUUGUUAUUCUCCCGAUUUGUUUAAUUACCUGUGGGCUCCUAAUAUUUUCAAUGCCUUUUUGGGUAUAUUUUGGUGAUAUUUUUCAUUUAUUGGUGUGUUGAAUAUAAAUUGAUAGGGAAGAAGAAGAAAAGGAAAGAGAGAAGCCCAGCAAUCAGCAAUUCAAGUCCUAACCAGAGAGAAAAAAACGAAUGGAAUUUAUCAUUAAACUCUAUCUACUUGGCAAUCAAAUGAGAGAUGAGAUUAUUAUUGAUCUACUUCUUUCCCUGUGAGAUGAGACCAGGUAUUUGAUGGCAAAAAAGAAGCUAAAAAAGGAGGAAAAAGACUGAAUCUCUUUUCAGUCUCCCAUAAAUGAUUCGGAAUCUAAAGAAAAGAAUUGAUGGAAUCGAGUUAAACUAGUAAUGGCCGUAAUUGAAAGCAUAAUAAUCAACAUUUUUUUAUCAAAUCAUUUAGUAACUCAAGCUUUCAUCCUUUUUUUUUGGGUUUAGAUCUUUUUCUUAAGUGAUUCCAGAGGCAAACAAAGGCAAUAUGUUUUUCUUUGAUAUAAAAGUCAUAGCAAAUAACAAACAUCACUAUCAACCAAUGGAAGGAGAAAAAAUUCAGGAAGACAAGGCAAAGGAGGAAAAGAUUGUUAAUGUGAAAUGAUGAAGGGAAAAACUCGAACAGCAUCUUACGUCUUUCUCUCUGUCUUUCGGAAGAUUUGUGGGAAACAAGAAUGGUCGUGGUGGUGAUGAUGAUGAUGUGAAGGAGGAUACAUUGUAUAUAUUCUUGGAAGAAAAGGGAAAAAAAGAGUAACAAAUAUUAUCUGGUUUCUUUCUUGGACUCAAAAAAAAAGAACCUAGAAAAAGCAAGAAGUGAACAAGCGUCAAAAUUGAGGAGUGCAAAGGUUUUAAAGCAAUUUAAUGGUGGCGAUUUCAAUUGAAAGACUCUGAUGAAAAGUGAAAUACAAUGAUAAUGAUAAACAUAAAGAUAAAGGAGGAAAGAAGGAAUGAAACUAUUAGUAACAAAAAUAAAUCAGUAACUAAAGUAAUGAAGAUGAGGGACAAUUCUAGGAAAUAAUAACUUUGAGUGAUUGUAUAAGAGGUAUACUCUUGUCAAGCAGUAUUCAAAGAAAUCAACAAAUCUCACGAAUCAUCAUCAUCAACAUCAUCUCAAUAGUAAUCUAGAGAUUUCAUGUUAUAUCAUUAAUGAAUGGCACCCAUCAAGAGAUGAAAUCAAAGAAACUCCAAGUAUUAUGAAAGUUUGGAAACAAUAUGUGUAUAAUGUUAGCAGUUAAUACUUAAGGAAUGAUUGGACUGAUAAAAAUAAUUACAUUAGGGCCUCCAGUUUGCUUGUAUUUUAUCUGCCAUCUAUUAAUAAUUAGCCUAAUUAUAGUCAUCUUAGCCGGUAAGAUUGAGCUGAACUUGAUUAAUUACACAUUGGUAACAAAGAUAACCUUGUAAACAAAUCAAGUUUUGUAUUUUUUGUUGUUGUUGUUUUCUUGCAUGAAUACAUAUAAAGUAUUUGAUGGACUAUCAAAGAAACAAUAAAUGAGAUUGCCUCCAAACUCAAGUGGAAACCCAAUUUUGGCAUCAACUAAACCAGUAAAGUUUUGAGUAAAACAAUAGGGACCCCUCAAUGAUUGGGUUUAAACUGCUGACCUAAAUUGACCUCUAGCUGCCCAAUUAUACUUCAUCAUCUCUAUUAAGGUUCCAAUAUCAACCAUCCAAGGGCAAAAGUGAGUUUUUUUCAGUGUUGAUCGAUAGAAAUGAUAAAAAUGGGAAAGAUGUGAUGUUGGCGAAAGAGAGAAAUAAUAAAGAAAAGAGAGAGAAGAUGAAAGAAGGCGAAAGAAAGGCAACAACCAAAAUCUUCUCUUUUCUUCUCUCUUUUUAUCUUCGUUUCUCCAUUCAGAAGAAGAAGAAAGCAAAAAAAACUGAUGUGGAUUUUUUUUCGUCACUAAAGUUAUUUCAUUCUUAUCUGCUUCUCUGAGUUUCACCUCCCAAUAAGAAUUGAACCAACAAGGUAUCAUGUUAAUACGGUAAAGGAAAAGACGAAGAAGAUGAAAAAAAAGGAUGGAAACGAGAAGCCAAAAAGCAAGAGGAACCAAGAGGAAGACAAAGAGACCAGGAUGAAGCAGUUGAUGCCAUUUUGAUGAUGUUGAAAGUUAACAGAGAUUAUCCACAUGAAAUAUCAAAGAAAUAGAAGCAAGCCUGUGUAAACCUUAUAGUAGAUAUAAUUGACAUUGAGUUCAAUCGAUGAUAUCGAAUUAAAGCUGUACAGAGAGGGGGAAAAGGAGAAAGAUGAGAAGAGCAAGAAGAAAAGGAAUAAGAGAGAGAGAGAAAAAAGAUGAAUAAGUAAAGAAAGAGAAAGAGAAUGUUGUUGAUCGAUCUUAGAUUAACCCAUUUCAAGUGUGGAUCCAUUUCGUUGCCUUUCAACCUUCAUGACAAACUUAUGCUUACAAUUUGCCUCAAUCACAGAUGAAAAUUGUAUUAAAAGACUAUCUUUAUCAUUUACCAUUCAACUGAAUCUCCAUUAAUACUGGUUCAAUAUUGUUUACUUGUACGUAAACAAUAACCAUAAUAAUUUGAGUGCAAUCAAUUAGCUUCUCAUUCAAAAUAUCUGUUUGUUUCAUUUACUCCUUUCAUUCUUGAUAAUCUUUUCUAUCAUUUCGCAUAAUUUUCAUCUUUCAAUCCUAUUUGAACCGUUUUCUGUCUCUUCUUUAUACCUUUUCAUUUCCACCUCAUAAUCUUGCGAAUCCUUGUUACUUUCAUUUCAUCUUUUCACAUGAUGUUCAUCCAAUGAUCAUCUUUAGUUGUGAUGAACCAGAAAAUUUCAUCAUAACUGAGUCCCAAAUCUUUUCAAAUUAUCUUCUCAAGUUCAUUUUCCAUUACCUUCAAAAGUCUUGACAUUUUGAUUUUU